AUUUCAUGUCAGUACAUAGAGAACUACCUCAUUUUAUUUAUAGACACUCAUGAAUUCAAGUAUCAUACCGCCCAGUAAAAUACCUCACCAACAUCCCUUUCUUUGCCUCCCUUCAUGUGUUAACCACACACUAUUCUUGAGGAUUUCCAUUUUCAUGUUAAAGAUUUUAUCUGUCUCAGGUGGGUCCUGCAAUCUUGAUCACUCUCAAGAGGUAAUGAGAUGCCUACCCUCCUUUCCAUGCCUCAUUCUCUGGGAUCGCGGAAUAUUUCUAUAUUAUAGGGAUAUUCUGCCUUAGCUUUUCCAGUGAGGUCUGAGAAUGGCCAGCAGUGGUUCCAAUAAGGCAGUCCAUUUGGUCCACUUUGCUUCUCACUUUCGAACCCAAGUGUUUGUUUUCUGAUACACCAGACAUGCAUUUCAUCAGUGAUAAACAAUUACUCUGCUUGCUUACUCAACGUUAAAGCCAGCUCUAGUAGUACCCUAGAGGCCCUCAGAAAAGAAACCAAGAUGUAGGACAGAUCCAUUAAAGGUUAUAUGUAAAAGCCACAUCUUCUCCAUACUUCUAUAUCACAAAGGUUUUGAAGACAUCAGGAAUGGGUCAGGUGGAAGGGCCCCUCUUCUCCAAUUGCCACCAUGGUUUGGGAGUUAUAGAUAAAACAAGACUUUCUACAGUAUGACAUUUACGUCUCAAUACAAUCAAAUUUAAGUUUGGUGAGCAUUUUACAUUGUAGAAUAUAGUCUAAUGUUUAAUUGCAAAAUACAGUAUAAAGUUCAUUACCAUGAACUUCAGGAUCAGCUAGACUCUGUAGGACCAUAGGCAAGUUUUUUGAGCUUUCUCUGUCUCUUGAGUUCUCAUCUGUAAUACUGGGUCAAUAAUGCUUCAUUGGUCCACAGAUUGUUUUAAAGUAAUCUUGAUGUGGACACACAGUGUACAAUUACCCUUAUUAU
rnacentral:lncRNA from 1 species